rnacentral:rRNA from 1 species
GACGGGGAGGUUUGGCACCUCGAUGUCGGCUCAUCACAUCCUGGGGCUGUAGUAGGUCCCAAGGGUUGGGCUGUUCGCCCAUUAAAGUGGUACGCGAGCUGGGUUCAGAACGUCGUGAGACAGUUCGGUCCCUAUCCGUCGCAGGCGUAGGAAAUUUGAGAAGACCUGUCCUUAGUACGAGAGGACCGGGAUGGACGUACCUCUGGUGUACCAGUUGUUCUGCCAAGGGCAUGGCUGGGUAGCUAUGUACGGAAUGGAUAAGCGCUGAAAGCAUCUAAGCGCGAAGCCAACUUCAAGAUAAGAUUUCCCACCGCAAGGGUAAGACCCCAGAAAGACUAUCUGGUUGAUAGGUCGAAGGUGUAAGUGCAGCAAUGUAUUUAGCUUAUCGAUACUAAUAGGUCGAGGACUUGACCAAU